rnacentral:misc_RNA from 1 species
AACAUCGCGCACCUGCGGGAACCUGCGGAGGGAUCAUUACCGAGUGAGAAUCCUCUGGAUUCAACCUCCCACCCGUGUUUAUUUUACCUUGUUGCUUCGGUGAACCCGCCGCAAGGCCGCCGGGGGCAUCUGCCCCGGGUCCGUGUUCACCGGAGACAAUCUGAACUCUGUCUGAAUGUUGCAGUCUGAGUAUAUAACUUAAUUAGUUAAAACUUUUAACAACGGAUCUCAGAUCGGAAG